AAUUGGUAAUAUCUACACAUGUGAAAAUUCAAUGUUGGUAUAAAGUCACAGCGUUAAAAAUUGUGACUUUUUUCUACAUAUACCUCCAACUUGAGCGAACAAGUCCAAGCAAUCUUGGGUAAAGAGUGAUUCAGGCACUCUUAGCAAACCCUCUUCAUCCAAACGGUGGUUCCUCAACUCUUCAACCAACUGCAUUUCGGGGUAUGCCAAAGACGUUCCUUUCUCUACUCGACUGGGUGAAAUUUCGGACUCGCAGCCGACUGCGUUUCCUCAUGGGCAGCCCGUAUUUGUCAAACAAAGCGGUCAGUUCCAGUAGAGCCAGUUGACGUAAUUUUCUCUUUUGCGCAUGGGCCGAAGCCGACGAGAGGGUUCCGACCAGUUUGAACUUGACAAUUUCGAUUCCUUGUCUAUCGACAGCGGCUACGUGACCUUCGGCCGCUGGACUGAAAAAUCCCGGACGGGACGGUUUGAACGACUGCUGUUUAAUCCCGUCAAUUUGAUUGAAACUACUCCGCCUCCUAGACUCUGAUCUGUGGGUGUUGGGUAUUGGAAGAAACGAAUCCAGAAUUUUGACAGAGGACUACUUUGUUGUUGUUGCUGGAAAUAGUCGCCGCAUCAUCUUCAUCCAGACAGCUGCUUUGAAAGAGACUGGAUAAAAGCUCGCCAUCUUCCUGGCUGCCGGAGCGUGACCAAGUUUUAGGUGAGAUGGCCGGACUGAUGGUAAGUCGUCCUCCUCCUCCUACACUUGCCACUAAAUUCUCCGUCGAGUGUUUCAUCGAGUCCGAGUCCAAAGAGUCAGGGGUGGCUGAUCGCGAACGGCCACUCGAUCCGCCGCUGUGACUGGCCUGAUCGUGUUUUUUUUUUAUAUUUUUAAAGUUUCCGUUAGCCGAGCUCAAUUUUUUUCUAUUCUUAUCUCUCCAUCAAAACUCACCUCCGGAUCACGAAAAAUGUCCCGGCAGUCGGGUCUCUGUUGGCCGGCUCCCGCUCGAGUUUUACGUCCUUUUAAAGUGACUCGAAGGGUCUCCACUCUUUUGCGGAUGGUUUGGUUGUCGACAAUGUUGCCCAAUCCGACGUCGAUGAGCCACGUAGCGGCUUCUUCCGCUUCUGUGUCGUGCCAAGAAAAAUGGUUAACGGGACGACACUUUUGCUGUGUUUUUCAUUUUGACAUUGUGCGUCGAGUCGUUUACCUUCCAUCGUCGAGGCGGAGCAGAGCAGCUCGUCUUCGGAUGAUGUGGUUUCAACCAUUGACCUGACGUGGUUUUCCGGCCAGACGUCGUGAAGAUGGGCUUCCCCUUCGACGACCGCUGCCAUGAUGAUGAUGGGGGUUGCUGGAGUCUAUAGUUUGGAGAGCUCAAACUUUCCCUGCCGCAAAAAAAGAAAAAGAAAGCGACGGCCGAAAAAGAAGAAGAAGAAAUAAAAACCUUGGGUGCAGAGUUCGGUGAAACGUCGUUGGUACUGAUUCAAUUCAGAGUUGCCCGGCACGGCGUCCAACUGGCGUCGCAAUUUCAUCAAAUUCACGUUCUUCUCACCCAAAAUUUUCAGGGCGCCAGCCAGCUGCUCACGGGCACUGUCCACUUGCCGCUUGAGGUGAUCUUGAUUGGCUGGAGCUUCCUCUUCUUUGCUUAAUAAUGCCCUGGCGGAAUUUUUUCGUUUUUCCCAAAAUUUUUAAUUAGGCGAAUCGUGUAUAAUUAAAAUGAAAAAAAAAAUAUAUGAUUAUUUGUUUUACUCGUUGCGUGACUGAAGUUCUUCCAGCUCUGUUUUACAUUGAUUUUUGAAUUGCUUCCGCUGUGCAUUGGCCGCUUCGUUCUGGCUUACGAGGCGAUCAAGCUGAUCCAAGGUCCUGGUUAACAAAUGUCGUGAUGGUUGUUAAAUUUUGGUUAUUUUAUUUUUUUAUCGAACGUCACGCGUGAUUGAAUUCAUUACUGGCGAUUCUCCUCAGUCUCCAAGGCUGCGAGCGAUUUCUUCUGCUGCUCCAAAACUUCUUCUGACGCAAUAAGAUCGCCGAUCUUGGCCUUCAACUGAUCCAUCACCUGUUGCUGCGAGGCGAUUUGAUUGCAGACGCGUUCCAGAGCUUCCGAUGUUUUCUUAUUGCGUUCCUCCAAAUGAGUUCGCUCAUCCCGCUCGCCCUUUUUAUUGGGUUGGGAUUUUAAUAAAAAUUAUUAGAUUUCUU
rnacentral:lncRNA from 1 species